rnacentral:sRNA from 1 species
CAGUUAGAUAUGGGAUCCAGGGGCUGGAAUUUGCUCCCAACUUGCCCACCUGUGUACAGUGGGGAGAACAGGUGUGACUUGAUGUCCUCUCUCUCUGCAGGUCUUCUCAGUACAGCAUGGUGGCUGGGGCAGGCCGAGAGAAUGGCAUGGAGACGCCAAUGCACGAGAACCCGGAGUGGGAGAAGGCCCGCCAGGCCCUGGCCAGCAUCAGCAAGUCAGGAGCUGGUGGCAGCUCUGCCAAGUCCAGCAGCAAUGGGCCUGUGGCCAGUGCACAGUACGUGUCCCAGGCAGAAGCCUCAGCUUUGCAGCAGCAGCAGUACUACCAGUGGUACCAGCAGUACAACUAUGCCUACCCCUACAGCUACUACUAUCCCAUGAGCAUGUACCAGAGCUAUGGUUCCCCUUCCCAGUAUGGGAUGGCCGGCUCCUAUGGCUCAGCCACACCCCAGCAGCCA